GGCCAGCAGCCGCGGUAAUACAGAGGUCCCAAGCGUUGUUCGGAUUCACUGGGCGUAAAGGGUGCGUAGGUGGUGAGGUAAGUCGGAUGUGAAAUCUCUGAGCUCAACUCAGAAAUGGCAUUGGAAACUACCUUGCUUGAGGAUUGGAGGGGGGACUGGAAUUCUCGGUGUAGCAGUGAAAUGCGUAGAGAUCGAGAGGAACACCAGUGGCGAAGGCGAGUCCCUGGACAAUACCUGACGCUGAGGCACGAAAGCUAGGGGAGCAAACAGGAUUAGAUACCCUGGUAGUCCUAGCCGUAAACGGUGUGCACUUGCUGUAAGAGGAAUCGACCCCUUUUGUGGCGAAGCUAACGCGUUAAGUGCACCGCCUGGGAAGUACGGUCGCAAGAUUAAAACUUAAAGGAAUUGGCGGGGGAC
rnacentral:rRNA from 1 species